rnacentral:rRNA from 1 species
UCCACGCCGUAAACGAUGGAUACUAGCUGUUCGAUCUUCGGAUUGAGUGGCUAAGCGAAAGUAAUAAGUAUCCCACCUGGGGAGUACGUUCGCAAGAAUGAAACUCAAAGGAAUUGACGGGGGCCCGCACAAGCGGUGGAGCAUGUGGUUUAAUUCGAUGAUACGCGAGGAACCUUACCAGGGCUUAAAUGUAGCUGGACAGAUUUAGAAAUAGAUCCUCCUUCGGGCUAGUUACAAGGUGCUGCAUGGUUGUCGUCGGCUCGUGCCGUGAGGUGUCAGGUUAAGUCCUAUAACGAGCG